rnacentral:rRNA from 1 species
AUCGAACGCUGGCGGCAUGCCUAACACAUGCAAGUCGAACGGACGGCGGAGGGGCGAGCAAUGGAUGGGGACCUGCGUGAUCGAGGGGGAUAACUGGGGGAAACGGUGGCAAAUACCGCAUACGAUCGGAUGGACCCAUAUGGGAUGAGCUAGUCGGUGGGGUAAAGGCUCACCAAGGCGACGAUGCCUAGCUGGUCCGAGAGGAGGAUCGGCCACACUGGGACUGAGACACGGCCCAGACUCCUACGGGAGGCAGCAGUAGGGAAUAUUCCGCAAUGGGCGAAAGCCUGAUCGAGCAAUGCCGCGUGAGUGAAGAAGGUCUUCGGGUCGUAAAGCACUUUCAGUGGAGAAGCGGUAUCUACACAGAAAGCACCGGCUAACUACGUGCCAGCAGCCGCGGUAAUAC